rnacentral:rRNA from 1 species
UACGUAGGGACCGAGCGUUGUCCGGAAUCAUUGGGCGUAAAGAGCGUGUAGGCGGCCACUUAAGUCCUGCGUGAAAUCUUGCGGCUCAACCGCAAGCGGUCGUGGGAAACUGGGUGGCUAGAGUGCGGGAAAGGAGAGUGGAAUUCCUGGUGUAGCGGUGGAAUGCGCAGAUAUCAGGAAGAACACCCGUGGCGAAGGCGGCUCUCUGGAACGCAACUGACGCUGAGACGCGAAAGCGUGGGGAGCAAACAGG